AUAUAUAGUCUCCCUAACAAGACGAGACAGUAAACGUAAACAAAACUUGACUACUGUGAUUGCAACUAUUGGCUGGCGAUUAGUAACACUUGAAUGAGAAAGAGACGGAGGUAAACGAACCCGGGCUAUAUUUGCAUAUUGGCGUUGCACAACAAAUCCUAACCACUUGAUUAAAACGCUUUAAGAAUCUUACUCUUUCUACGGGAGUUUCUAAAACUGUAUAUAACUUGUAUACAACACUAAGUAUGAGUCAUGACGUCAGUAAUCCACUAACUAUAAUCACAAGUUGUGGUUGUUAAUCAUCUGUCUGGUAACGUUACCACAAUAUAGUACUACAUUUCCUCUCUGGUAUUACAUAUUACAUAGUACACAAUAAUAAGAAAGUAUCUCCAAGUGAAAUCAGUGAUUUUAAAUGUCUCAGAAAUGAUUAAGUUUUGAAAAAUAGUUCAAAUGUAAAAAUUAAAAAAAUUGUAACAGUUUCUGAUCUCUUACAUGGAUCUUCUACAUUUAAUCACAGCAACAAUUGCCACAAUUGACUCAACAAUAGCUAUGUGGCUCACAAAAGCAACAGACACAUGAUGUACAAUGACAGUCAUCUAGAUAAUCAUAACAGAUAUUGUUUAUACUUUACUGGAGUCAGAAUGAAAUUCUAUUUGGAAAUAUGAAAUGGUAAUUUGUAUUUUAUUUUUGUGUAUUUCUAUGUAGGAAAUUGCUAUAGCUUCAAGAAAAAAUAGUUCUGAAAAAAAACACUUAUGGAAGCUUUGCAUUAAAUGUAUUUGAACCAAAUACAUAUUACUAAGAACUAGCCAUAACAGAGAACAACGAUUAUUCUACAUUAAUGUUCCUUAAAUAUUGCUGAUCUAAAACAGGAACAGUAAAGAAAAGUAGCUUUGCGAUGAAAUAAAAAUUCAUUUAUGUUUUUUGUACAAGAUAUAUGUAUCUUUCAUAAAAUAAAUGUUGUUAUUUUGCAGAUUAUUAUGACUUUAA